rnacentral:rRNA from 1 species
UGCAGUAGAACGCACAGUUUAUACCGUAGCUUGCUACACCAUAGACUGUGAGUUGCGAACGGGUGAGUAACGCGUAGGUAACCUGCCUAUUAGAGGGGGAUAACUAUUGGAAACGAUAGCUAAUACCGCAUAACAGUAUGUAACACAUGUUAGAUGCUUGAAAGAUGCAAUUGCAUCGCUAGUAGAUGGACCUGCGUUGUAUUAGCUAGUAGGUAGGGUAAAGGCCUACCUAGGCAACGAUACAUAGCCGACCUGAGAGGGUGAUCGGCCACACUGGGACUGAGACACGGCCCAGACUCCUACGGGAGGCAGCAGUAGGGAAUCUUCGGCAAUGGGGGGAACCCUGACCGAGCAACGCCGCGUGAGUGAAGAAGGUUUUCGGAUCGUAAAGCUCUGUUGUUAAGGAAGAACGAGUGUGAGAAUGGAAAGUUCAUACUGUGACGGUACUUAACCAGAAAGGGACGGCUAACUACGUGCCAGCAGCCGCGGUAAUACGUAGGUCCCGAGCGUUGUCCGGAUUUAUUGGGCGUAAAGCGAGCGCAGGCGGUUAGAAAAGUCUGAAGUGAAAGGCAGUGGCUCAACCAUUGUAGGCUUUGGAAACUGUUUAACUUGAGUGCAGAAGGGGAGAGUGGAAUUCCAUGUGUAGCGGUGAAAUGCGUAGAUAUAUGGAGGAACACCGGUGGCGAAAGCGGCUCUCUGGUCUGUAACUGACGCUGAGGCUCGAAAGCGUGGGGAGCGAACAGGAUUAGAUA